UACCAGCACCCCGAGUGGUCGGCGCGAUUAUUGGGCCUAAAGCAUCCGUAGCCGGUUCUACAAGUCUUCCGUUAAAUCCACCUGCUUAACAGAUGGGCUGCGGAGGAUACUAUAGAGCUAGGAGGCGGGAGAGGCAAGCGGUACUUAGUGGGUAGGGGUAAAAUCCGUUGAUCCAUUGAAGACCACCAGUGGCGAAGGCGGCUUGCCAGAACGCACUCGACGGUGAGGGAUGAAAGCUGGGGGAGCAAACCGG
rnacentral:rRNA from 1 species